rnacentral:rRNA from 1 species
GGUUAAGCGACUAAGCGUACACGGUGGAUGCCCUGGCAGUCAGAGGCGAUGAAGGACGUGCUAAUCUGCGAUAAGCGCCGGUAAGGUGAUAUGAACCGUUAUAACCGGCGAUUUCCGAAUGGGGAAACCCAGUGUGACUCGUCACACUAUCAUUAACUGAAUCCAUAGGUUAAUGAGGCGAACCGGGGGAACUGAAACAUCUAAGUACCCCGAGGAAAAGAAAUCAACCGAGAUUCCCCCAGUAGCGGCGAGCGAACGGGGAGGAGCCCAGAGCCUGAAUCAGCAUGUGUGUUAGUGGAAGCGUCUGGAAAGGCGC